GCCAGACUCCUAGGGAGGCAGCAGUGGGGGAUAUUGCACAAUGGGGGGAACCCUGAUGCAGCGACGCCGCGUGGGUGAAGAAGUAUUUCGGUAUGUAAAGCCCUAUCGGCAGGGAAGAAAUUGGACGGUACCUGACUAAGAAGCCCUGGCUAACUACGUGCCAGCAGCCGCGGUAAUACGUAGGGGGCAAGCGUUAUCCGGAUUCACUGGGUGUAAAGGGAGCGUAGACGGCCAUGCAAGCCUGGAGUGAAAGCCCGGGGCCCAACCCCGGGACUGCUCUGGGAACUGUGCGGCUGGAGUGCGGGAGGGGCAGGCGGAAUUCCUGGUGUAGCGGUGAAAUGCGUAGAUAUCAGGAGGAACACCGGCGGCGAAGGCGGCCUGCUGGACCGCGACUGACGUUGAGGCUCGAAAGCGUGGGGAGCAAACAGGAUUAGAUACCCCCGUAA
rnacentral:rRNA from 1 species